CAUAUGCUGAGAUACCUGUGAAGACAAAAUAAUUAUAGUAAUUAAACCUAUGAAUUCUUUCAAUAGCCCAGCAUACUGUGAUUGGCCACAGAGGCAGGGAGGCUGCGGUAAUUUCAGGCAUGGGCAUCUAUAUAGUUUUGGGGGAAACGAUUCUAGGACACAGUGGCCUUUUUCUUUCUCUCAGGUUCAUACAGGGGUCACUGCUGUAAAACUGGCUAUCAAGGUGGUAGCAACUUUCCAAUUCCCAUUCCUAGUUCUGCUGUGGCUCAUCUGUACACAUAAUCAUUUCACUCUGAGUUCACUGCACCUCUCCCUUUUCAAUGGUCUCACAAGAGGUCCCACAGGCACCCCCCUCCACCUUCCCCAACACCCAGCUGGUCCUUCUCUUGGCUAAAGGCUGGAAUUCUUUGGACAACCUCAGCACAUAGCUGGCCUUCCGUUGACUUAGUGUUGAGACAGAAAUGGAGCUGUUAUGAGAGUUAGUGCCCCAACACUAACCAUUGGGAGCCUACACAAACCUGAUCCUGAAUGGGACCCAGGAGAUUCUGUGAUAUUGUUCACAAUGUCACAGCUCAAACCCAGCAUCCUCCAUGCUAAUACUAUUUUAUUCUCAAAUACCAGUAAUUCUUUUUUCCUCCUACUCCUUUCAUGCUCAGUUCAGGUGCACCUUCUAAGCUUCUAUUCUGGAGAAAGGGUUUCCUUCUUAGCAGGCUCUCCAUAAUGGAGUAUUGCCUGUGAUUCCCAUUUUGGAGAUUGAGACUUUAUCUUAUCCACCAAGAUACCUUGUCUGAGGAACUCCUGCCUGCUCACCUCCUAGGUCUUCCAGAGGUUACUCAGAAUCUUCCAAUUCUGCUGCUUCAGUUGGACCCCUGGACAUUCCCAAUCCCAAGGGCUCUACAACCAUCCUGUUGGGUUGAAUGUCUGGGAUCAGCCGGACACCUCCACUCCCCGACCCUCCUACCAGCUUCUGUGGAAGCCUUGUCCUGUUAUGCUGGCAGAUGGGGCAUGGCUCUAACAGCUCAGCUGGGCUUCAUGGAAGACUUAUACAUAUCAGAUCCUAGCACAGCCUCCUGAAAAUGAUAUAGGGGCAAUGCUAACGGCAAGUGAGGAGAUUAGGGUGAUUUGGAGUUGGCCACAUUGUAAGGUAAAAAAAAAAAUCCAAAAGAAUAAAUCAAAGCCAAAGUAAAAACCGUGUAGUGUCAUUUAAGUAUGCCAAGAGAUGUAGCAUCCUCACCGAAAAAGAAAUCACUUAAAAGUCAAUACCACAUUGCACCACUGUUAAUUUCUUAAUUUUGACAAAUGUGCUACGUUAUGUAAGAUGUUAACAUUAGGAAAAGCUGAGUGAACUCUGUACUAUCUUUGCAUCUCUUCUGUAUCUAAAAUUAUUUCAAAAAAGACAUUUAAAAAAGGAUAACAGUGAAAAUAUGAAAGUAUUUGCAUUAUAAAUAACGAACUUCUUUACCUUAAAAUUUUUUGGCAGAUAAAAAUGGCUUUUGAAGAACAUUUUAAAAUCUCAGUUCCUGGCAUAAACAUGCAGUAUAAAAAGAUGCCCUAUAAUGCAGUAUAAAUUCUGGGAAGAAUUAAUUGAUACUUCAUGGAAACUCUUUCUUUCAACAAAUAAUUUUCUACCUGUUACAGAGCUUGCAUAUUCUAAGGAUACAUGAGUCAACAAAACAAAUAAAGAUCUCGGCUCUCACUGGAUUCCUGCAUUAGCCUUCUAACAAUUCUAUGGGGGCAGAAGAAAAUCAACAAUGAACAUUAACACAACCAAUAAAUAACCAAUUGUAUGAUUGAAGGUGUUAGGGCUACUAGUAUGAGGGGGGGAAAAGAUCAGAUAAAAGGGAGAGUAGUAUGCAUGAGCUGGGCUGUGUGCAAUUUUAAGUAGGGUGUUCAGAGCAAGCCUCACUGAGAAGGUAGAGGGAGCAGAGCAUGAGUCUACCAGAGGGAAGAGCAUCCCAGGUAGAGAGAAUGGCCCUACGGGGGAGCCUGCCUAGAUGCUGAAGUAGCAUCCAGAGGUGUGUGAGCAGAAGCAGUAACUGUGGGGGAGAAAAGUAGAUGAAUGAGGAAGGUGAGGGUGGUGGCGGGUGGGGAGGAGUGCAAAUAAGUAGGACUUUGGCUUGUACUCUGAAGGAGAGGGGGAGCUAUUGCAAACUUUUGAGCAGAAGAAUAACAUGGUCUGUCUUAGGUACUGCAUAACGAAAGGUUUCAGUCAAUAUUAAACCACAUAUACAAUGGUAGUCCCAUAAGAUUAUAAUGGAGCUGAAAAAUUCCUUUUGCCUAGUGAUGUCAUAGCCAUUGUCAUGUUGCAUUACUCAUUCGUUUGUGAUGCUGGUGUAAACCUACUGCACUGCGAAUUGUAUAAAAUCAUAGCACAUACAGCUACGUAAAGUACAUAAUACUUGAUAAUGGUAAUACAUGAUUGUGUUACUGGUUUAUGUAUUUACUAUACUAUAUUUUUAUCAUUAUUUUUAAUUACUUAUUUAUUGAUUGACUUUAGAGAGAGAGGAAGGGGGGAGAGAGAGAGAGAGAGAGAGAGAGAGAGAGAGAGUGUCUUUGAUUUGUUGUUCUGCUUAUUUAUGCAUUCAUUGGUUGAGUCUUGUAUGUGCCCUGACCAGGGAUUGAACCCACAACAUUAGCAUUAUUUUAAAGUGUAUUGUUUCUAUUUAUAGAAAAAAAGUUUUCUGUAAAACUGUAUGCCCUUGUUAUGGUGGCAGCAACCUCAUGCAUCUCGUGUUUGCCAAGUUUCCUGAUUGUACCAUUGUCUCAUGUGCUUGAUUUAAUCCCAUGUUUUGUGCAAUGACGUGCUGUACAGGCUUGUAGCCUGGGAGGAAGAGGCUAUGCCAUAUAGUCUAGGUGUGUAGUAGGCUAUACCGUCUCAGUUUGUGAAUUGCACUCUAUGGUGUUCACACAGUGAAAUUGCCUGAGGACACAUUUCUCAGAAGGAUCCCCCUUGUUAAGCUGUGCAUGACUGUACUAGAAGAAUAACCCUUUUCUGCUUUGUGACUAGGCUCUGGCGGGGCGAGGGCAGAGCAGGGAGAACAGUUAGAAGGCGAAUGCAGGAACCCAAUGAAAGAUGACAGUGCCUUAGACCUGCAUGAACGGUGGAGAUGGCGAGAAGUGGCGCGCUGGAGCUGGCUUGUCCUGAGAGUCAAUUGUUACAUUUUUAGGGAGUUUGCAAGCCAGUUGUGAAAUAUGCUAUUGUUAAAAAUUAAACUUUACAAACUUACAAGUAAAUACAUUCUGUUAUAAUAUUGCAUGCAAACUGUAAUAAAAAAUUAAAUUAUAUAAAUUUACAAUUUAAAAUAUUAUAUUGGAAACGAAAGUAAUAAAUACCUAAAACUCAUCACUUCUUAACUGUCUUUACCUAAUUCUCUUAUCAUUCAUGAUUAUCUCUGCUGCUGAGGUUGCUUGUGUCUCUUCUCCUCACGUGGCACUCUAAAAUGGGAUGCUGCUGUGCAUCUCUUCCCAAUUCUGUAUCCAGUGACUUUACAUUAAGAGUCUGUCAGCCAUGGUGUGAGUAUUUACACCACAGAAAUUGACAGAUGCUACAAAUCUGGGUUCAUUUUGUUUUUAAAGUGAGCUGGUUGUCAAGCAUUUGCUAGCACACUGCUGCAUUGCGCCUGCCCAACUCUCCCUAGGAAUGUGUGCUCCCACCCCAUUCCAGUGUUUUCAGGUUCCCUCACUCCUAUUAUGCUCCCACCCAAAGAGGGGGAAAGAGGUUAAAUAGGUAUUGUGAAUAUUACAACAGGAUGAAAGUAACGUAUUUCUCUUAAGCUUCAUACCAUUCAUAGAUAUCUAGCUGUGAAAAUCACCAUACCUGCAAUUGGAUCUUUAGUGCCGGCCCUAGCUUUAGUCCCAUAGUGCUUCGAAGAUGCUCCUCUGUGAGUAAUAGCAAAGUUUCUCCGUCAAUUGCAUGAUCUUUAAAUACCUUAGAAAACACAAAAGGUAUUAACUUUGUCUCAUGUCUUUUAAAAAAAAUUCUUGUUUUAUGUGCAGAUAUUUUAGUAUUGGAGGAGACAUUAAGACUGCCGGGGAAUGACACAAAAUUUUAUAAAAUUUCUCAUUUCAGUUGCUCUCUCUUCUGUGCCCCAGUAGCUCUUCAAUAGCCCUUGGAGUACAUUGUAAUUCUCUGUUUAUAGAACUCAGUUCCAGCCUGGAAUAGUUAAUAGUUGAGGGCAGGCCUGUGUCUUAUUUACCAAUGUACCUGUCCUGCAGUGACUGGAACAUAGUAGAAGGUGUAAAAUCAACAUUGCUAGACAGAUCAAUGAAUGAACAAAUAGUCUGAAUAAAGAGAUGUGGGUAAAAACCAUCACAGACAAUUGCAUCUCUCACACUUAGGUGCACUGCUUCCUGUCCACUGCCUUAGCUGAAUGGUAGGGGGCAGAGGGGAAAUUGCAGGUGGGAGCUGUCAUGCUGACUUUUCCAACAGAGCCUAUAGUUCCGACUGUGCAAUGGAUGUAACCAUGCCUUCCUUUCUUCCAGAAACUAGGAAGGCUGCUGCUGGACAAAGGUUCCAGACAAAUAGAGGUGGAUAGAAAAAAGCGGAGCAGAUUGGUAGCACCAGAAUUUCAUGAUCCCCAACUUCAACCUGUCUGGCAAUCCUGUAUUUACUGAUGAACGUUCUCUUCUCUCUAUUUCAAGCUUCCUUCACAAUCUUCAAACUCUAGAUGUUACAGAAUCCUCCCUUAUUUUCAACAGAUCAUAUAACUUUCUAAUAAAAAAAAAAGAAACCAGUAGAUAAGAACUUCCUCUAGUUCUGCCCAAUAAACCCCCAAACUCCUAUUUUCUCCUUCUGUCUUGAUAUGUGGAAGAGGCGUCCCUCUCUGUGGAAAGACAACCAAUGUCUCCACAUAUGAUGUGGGUCCUCACCCCUCCCACCUCAGGGUUUCACUCAGUAAAUAAUCCCUCCCUGGCCUUCAAUCUCUCCUCUUUGGCCUUCUCUUUCCCUUUGGCAUUUAAGCGAGUCUCCACCAUCAUAAAACAGGCAAUAAUAAUAAUAAAAAUACACAAAUGAUUCUUUUUAAAGACUAUUUUUUAUUGAUUUCAGAGAGGCAGGGAGAGGGAGAGAGAGAUAGAAACAUCAAUGAUGAGAAUCAUUGAUUAGCUGUCUCCUGCACGCCCCCUACUGGGGAUGAAGCUCACAACCUGGACAUGUGCCCUGACCUGGAAUCGAACUGUGACCUCCUGGUUCAUAGGUCCAUGCUCAACCACUGAGCCACGCCGGCUGGGCCACAAAUGCUUCUUCACUCUGCUUCUAGAUACUGCCCCAUGUCUCUCAUUCCCUUUAUAGCCAUUUCUCCGAAGAGUUGUGAUGUUCUCUGUUUCCAUAUUCUUACUUCCCAGUUAUUUCUCAGUCACAAGGAGUCUGACUUCUGCCCUCACCUGUCCAUCAAAUCUGCUCUCCUCUG